rnacentral:misc_RNA from 1 species
GAAAUGCGAUAAGUAGUGUGAAUUGCAGAAUUUAGCGAAUCAUCGAAUCUUUGAACGCACAUUGCGCCCCUUGGUAUUCCAUGGGGCAUGCCUGUUCGAGCGUCAUUUCAACCCUCAAGCACUGCUUGGUGUUGGGCGUUUGUCCCGCCUACGCGCGUGGACUCGCCUCAAAGUCAUUGGCAGCUGUUCCCCUUCGCCUCGUAAGCGCAGCACAGUCGGCGCCCGGAGCUCUGGUGGGAUGGCGUCCAGCAAGCUAUAUUUUCAGGCUUGACCUCGGAUCAGGUAGGGAUACCCGCUGAACUUAAGC